UCGGGAAUUUUGGGCAAUGGGCGAAAGCCUGACCCAGCAACGCCGCGUGAAGGAUGAAGUAUUUCGGUAUGUAAACUUCGUAAGAAUAGGAAGAAUAAAUGACGGUACUAUUUGUAAGGUCCGGCUAACUACGUGCCAGCAGCCGCGGUAAUACGUAGGGACCAAGCGUUGUUCGGAUUUACUGGGCGUAAAGGGCGCGUAGGCGGUGUGUCAAGUCAGUUGUGAAAUCUCCGAGCUUAACUCGGAACGGUCAACUGAUACUGUCACACUAGAGUACAGAAGGGGCAAUCGGAAUUCUUGGUGUAGCGGUGAAAUGCGUAGAUAUCAAGAGGAACACCUGAGGUGAAGACGGGUUGCUGGGCUGACACUGACGCUGAGGCGCGAAAGCCAGGGGAGCAAACGGGAUUAGAUACCCAAGUAGUCCCUGAG
rnacentral:rRNA from 1 species